rnacentral:rRNA from 1 species
AAUCAACGCUGGCGGCGUGCCUCAGACAUGCAAGUCGAACGCGAAAGUUUCCUUCGGGGAAUGAGUAGAGUGGCGCACGGGUGAGUAACACGUAGGUAAUCUACCUUUGGAUGGGGAAUAACAACCGGAAACGGUUGCUAAUACCGCAUAAUGCAGCGGCACCUAAUGGUGACAGUUGUUAAAGCGGGGGAUCGAAAGACCUCGCGUCUAAAGAGGAGCCUGCGGCGGAUUAGCUAGUUGGUAAGGUAAUGGCUUACCAAGGCGAUGAUCCGUAACCGGCCUGAGAGGGCGGUCGGUCACACUGACACUGACAUACGGGUCAGACUCCUACGGGAGGCAGCAGUCGGGAAUUUUGGGCAAUGGGCGAAAGCCUGACCCAGCAACGCCGCGUGAAGGAUGAAAUCCCCCGGGAUGUAAACUUCGCAAGAACAGGAAGAAUAAGUAAGGGUUAAUACCUCUUACGAUGACGGUACUGUUUGUAAGCUCCGGCUAACUCCGUGC